AACGAACGCUGGCGGCAUGCCUAACACAUGCAAGUCGAACGAGAUCUUCGGGUCUAGUGGCGCACGGGUGCGUAGCGCGUGGGAAUCUGCCCUUUGGUUCGGAAUAACAGUUGGAAACGACUGCUAAUACCGGAUGGUGACGAAAGUCCAAAGAUUUAUCGCCAGAGGAUGAGCCCGCGUAGGAUUAGCUAGUUGGUGUGGUAAAGGCGCACCAAGGCGACGAUCCUUAGCUGGUCUGAGAGGAUGAUCAGCCACACUGGGACUGAGACACGGCCCAGACUCCUACGGGAGGCAGCAGUGGGGAAUAUUGGACAAUGGGCGAAAGCCUGAUCCAGCAAUGCCGCGUGAGUGAUGAAGGCCUUAGGGUUGUAAAGCUCUUUUACCCGGGAUGAUAAUGACAGUACCGGGAGAAUAAGCUCCGGCUAACUCCGUGCCAGCCGCCGCGGUAA
rnacentral:rRNA from 1 species